rnacentral:lncRNA from 1 species
UAGAGGCAUCCACCCUCAAUCUCAAGCAAUCUUCAGCCAAGAGACAUGAUUCAAAAGCCUUUUCUUUUCUUCUUCCUUUUUCUGCUCAUCUCAAUAUUAUUCAUUCCAUCAACUACAAGAAAAUUGUAUGACGACUCAAAAGGUAGUGAGACAUCUCAGCCUUCAAACUUGCGCACUUCAUUUUUUCGACAUGCAUGUUUGGCUAAGCUUUUAAGCUGUAGCCAUUAUUGGUAUUAAGAAUUCAUAAAUCAUAUCCUAUAGUUUUCAAUAUAUAUUUGCAUUGAUACACUUUAUGUUUAUUUUUAUUGAAAUGAUGAUACAAAGGCAGCGUAACGGGGAGUACCUCAGGGCAUUCUCCUUCGGCGGUUGGAAAUACAGUGCCAGGAACGUCAACCUCUGUACGCCGUAAGUAAUAUAGUCCUUGUUUGUUAGGGAUUAAAAUCGGAAUUUUAGUAUAUUUUGAUCAAAAAAUAUGAUGAAAUAUGUGGUUGAAAAGUUGUUAGUUCCAUAAAAUAUUUGGUUAAAAUUAAUAAUGUUGACUUUGACUUAAGUCAAAAUAUGAAUUUUAAUCUUUAUCAGUGCAUAAUAAAUUUAUCUGUGAGCUUAAUCAUUACAUUAAUUUAGUGACUAGUGACACAAGUCAAAUUGACGGCCACUAUUAAAUUAUCAUCAGAAGUAGCAAAAAAAAAAAAAAAACAUAAAAAUGUCAUAGAAUCAACGCAUUCACUUCGUAAUGUGUUUUUAGUUGACUCCAUAGUAGUCAAAGUAGGCUAACAUUUUUAUUUAUUUAUUUUUCCCCUCUUCUGACGUUUUGUCUUGGUUGUAAUUCUAUAUUAUGUCAUUCACGAAAAUUAGCAUUGACUUCACAACCAUUUUUGGUCAACUAAACAGAAUUUGAAGAUUUAAUUAGAUCCGAGUGCGUCUUUGUUCGUCAACUAUUCUACCAUAUUUUUUUUUUAUAGUACUCAUUUUCAACUACACAUUCUUUAUUAAAAUAAUAUUACACAUAAAUAAAUAAAAAAUCUUUUUUUUUAACCACACAUUUCAAUAUCAAUCACUAUUUCAUAAUAAACUUUUUGAAAUUAAAGAGACACGAAUAGGCCUGAAUUAGAUUAAGCAUCGUAAAACUUAAUUGAUAAAUUAUAACAAGAGUUUUAAUUUUAUCUCGUCUAACCCUAUAUAUUUAAAAUAAUGCUAAUUAAAAAAAUAAAAAAUAAAAAGGGUAAAACAGCGCCUUAUGCAAUAUAUAAUUGUCAUUAAAUGAUAAGUCCAAUUAAAGAAUUUAAUUACGUGACUUAUUCAGUAAACAGGUCUCUUGGGGUCGGUUACUAGAGAUCAAGUUAGACAAUUCAGCCCGAUGUGACCAACCUAUUACGGUAAACCGACCCUGAAACCUCACCAUACCAAGUUGGGUCGAUUUAAAUUCAGUUUUAAUGGGCUGGUUCACCCGGGCCUGGGCCACCAGUCCGUUUAACACCACUAAUUAAGAUAUGAUUUAAAAGCCGUUUCUUGUCUUCUUCUUCUUCUUUUCAUUUCAUCUCAAUCUUGUUAAUUGCAUAAAUUCUUCUCCAUUUUAAUCAGUUCCCUACAUGUUAGUCCAUAGUCCACAAUUACUUUACUAAUAGAUACAAAAACUUAGCAAGUGAACACAUAUUAUUUGAAUAAAGAAUUAAAAUUAAUCUUUCUUUAUUUUAUUACGUCUUCAUUUUUCUUUGUUCUCCUUGUUUCCUUUAUCCUGUGAUAUAUUAGUGAAGAAAAUAUCAUAUUCUCUGUCUGAUUCUAUAUAUUUAUUUCAUGUUUUGGUGGGAUGCAUGACCGAACAAAUAGCUAGAGUGGGUAAAUCUGUAGCGUACAAAGCACUUGUAAUACCAUUUUGUCGUAGCAUGUACAACAGCUCGUGCAUUGGCCGUCCACACGGUAAUCAGACCCGACCAUACGGUAAUCAGACCCGACCAUAACACGAGGACAAGCAGGGAAGUGUAAACUUACUAGUCGUUGAAUAAAUUGUUCCAACUUGUUUUGGAGUUUGUUGUUUACUUGAUUUACUUACCAAGUACACGAAUCAGUCAAUAGCAAUUUCGCUAUAAUUGUAUUAGUCAAUUUGAGUUUGCUUUGCUUCCUAAUUUCUUGCUAAAAUAAGGUAAACUAAUGCCUGUAUCACAUUCUCAGUUGCUUUUCAAGAAUUUCAUAGAUCACUAGCAUUUAUAAUUAUUGAGCUGGCCUGUUAUUAUAGAAUAUGGUGUUGGGCAAUCAUAAAUUCAACAAUUCAAAAUUUUUUUUUUUUUUUAAAUAUUAACCUUUAUGGAGUCCAUCAUGAAUCGGUAAUUGGUUCAAUCGACAUCUUACUGUUCGGCCCAAGUUUGAAUUUAAAUUAAUUUUUAACUUUUUUGGAAAAAUAUUGCAUUCUCGAAACCAAAAAAAGAUAAUAAAAUCUAUGUAACUAAUUAGCUUUUGUAACCGAUAAUUAUGACAGGAAAGUUGCCCAAAGUGAUCUAAAUUCAAAUUUCUC